GCCGGGGUGGUGAAAUUGGUAGACGCAGGGGACUCAAAAUCCCCCGGCCCUUGCGGCCAUGCGGGUUCGAUUCCCGCCCCCGGCA
rnacentral:tRNA from 1 species